rnacentral:rRNA from 1 species
GGCUCAGGACGAACGCUGGCGGCGUGCCUAAUACAUGCAAGUCGAGCGAAUGACAAGGAGCUGCUCCUUGAUUAGCGGCGGACGGGUGAGUAACACGUGGGUAACCUACCCUAUAGACUGGGAUAACUUCGGGAAACCGGAGCUAAUACCGGAUAAUACUUUUGAACACAUGUUCGAAAGUCGAAAGAUGGUUUCGGCUAUCACUAUAGGAUGGACCCGCGGCGCAUUAGCUAGUUGGUGGGGUAAUGGCUCACCAAGGCAACGAUGCGUAGCCGACCUGAGAGGGUGAUCGGCCACACUGGGACUGAGACACGGCCCAGACUCCUACGGGAGGCAGCAGUAGGGAAUCUUCCACAAUGGACGAAAGUCUGAUGGAGCAACGCCGCGUGAAGUGAAGAAGGAUUUCGGUUCGUAAACUCUGUUGCAAGGGAAGAACAAGUAGCGUAGUAACUGGCGCUACCUUGACGGUACCCUGUUAGAAAGCCACGGCUAACUACGUGCCAGCAGCAGC